AUUGAACGCUGGCGGCAGGCCUAACACAUGCAAGUCGAGCGGAUGAAGGGAGCUUGCUCCUGGAUUCAGCGGCGGACGGGUGAGUAAUGCCUAUGAAUCUGCCUGGUAGUGGGGGAUAACGUCCGGAAACGGGCGCUAAUACCGCAUACGUCCUGAGGGAGAAAGUGGGGGAUCUUCGGACCUCACGCUAUCAGAUGAGCCUAGGUCGGAUUAGCUAGUUGGUGGGGUAAAGGCCUACCAAGGCGACGAUCCGUAACUGGUCUGAGAGGAUGAUCAGUCACCUUGGAACUGAGACACGGUCCAGACUCCUACGGGAGGCAGCAGUGGGGAAUAUUGGACAAUGGGCGAAAGCCUGAUACAGCCAUGCCGCGUGUGUGAAGAAGGUCUUCGGAUUGUAAAGCACUUUAAGUUGGGAGGAAGGGCAGUAAGUUAAUACCUUGCUGUUUUGACGUUACCAACAGAAUAAGCACCGGCUAACUUCGUG
rnacentral:rRNA from 1 species